rnacentral:tmRNA from 1 species
GUAAAAGUAAAUAUAGAAAAUCUGGAACUUUGACGGGUUUUUGAAACUAAAGAAGGUAAGCUAAAAAUGGAUUGUUCUUAAUCAGCUUUUAGUCGAAAAUUAAGAAAGAACUAAGUAUGUAGAAAUCUUUUUGGCUGCUUGUUUGGACCCGAGUUCGAUUCUCGGCGUCUCCACUU